rnacentral:lncRNA from 1 species
GGCGGGGCUUCAAACCCAGAGAAGCUGCCUCGCAGCGCAAGGGGGAGGGGUGGGAGCUUCUCGCAGGUCCGGGAGCCCUGGCCAUUGUCCAGGCCGCCUCCUGCCGGGAAGGGGCGGGCAGCCCGGGCCCCUCGGCCUCUGCUCCCGGGUCUCUGCCGCUUCCUUUACAGACCUACUGGGCCCCUCCCACCUGCCAAGGGUCUUCCCAGGGAAGGUGCUUGGCUCAAAGCCCCGUUCAGGGACUUCCACACGCCCAUGGUGUCUGACACCUGAGUACAGGGAUCUCCCUGGGGGAGUCCAGGCUUUCGGAAAACCCUGUGAAGCCUGGAACUGAGUUCAUCUUCGUUUCUUGACCCUGUAGCACUUAGCCCCCUGGGUGCCCCAGCCAUGAGGGGCCCUUGCAGCUAGGUGCCGACCUGACGGCAGGUGCAUCAGUGAGGAGGGGCUCAGAGCGUACCAAGCAGAGAGUGAGCCUCAGGACGACGAGAGCCAGAGGACGGUGGUCCAGGGGGUGGUGGAAGGCAGGGCGGCAGCAGAAGGACCGGUGUGGGGUCCGAGGGGAGGGGGCCGCUGGGGCCUGGGUCUGAGGCUCACUGGUCAUCUCAUGGGGAUUAGACCCAAGCGGAGUGUGGGGGGCAGGACUGAGCUACAAGCAGGGGGGAGAGGGUGAGGUCAGGCCAGCGCCCCGCUGGGCCUCCUCUCGUGGCCCCCGCCCCCCACCCCCUGCCCCUCGCCGCCCAGGCCCAGGCCCAGGCCCAGGCCCAGGCGCACCCUCAGCCCGCAGUGACCCUUCAGGCAGUCACCCUGCUGGUGGCGCUGGGGGUCAGCGGAGCGGAGCGGGCAGGGGUUCUUCCAGCUGCCUUUCCAGGGUCGGCCAGGCGAGGGCACCAGCGGGACAGGCAGGGGUCCGGUCUUUCCCGGCCUGGAUGUUUGCGGGGGGGAGUGGGGUUCGCGCCCACCCAGCUCCCUUCAGCGUCUGCAGAACCUGGGAGCGCCUGCAGCAGCACAGGCGCCCAGCAGGCGGCCUCUCCGGCUCCAGGGCCCCCACGCCUCCACCCCUGCGCCCCCAGCUGGCAGGCACUUGGUUCUCUUGACCCACCAACCCCUGGAAGCCAUCGAGAGGGUGUGCUUGGGGCAGGGGGCAGCUCCACGACUUACCAGCCUCUCAAAAUGGAAAAUCUUCAUCCGUUUGCCAACUCCAGAGCUAUCUGCGUGGAGAUGGGAUCCAAGCUCCUUCCAGAGACAAACCCUCUUCCUCCCCUCCGUCCCCCGGCCCCACGCCUGCCAGGCUCUGACCCAGUCCGGGCUAGGACACCGGCUGGUCCUGGCUGGCCCUCCUGAGGGACCACCUUCCCUGACCUCCCUCUUCCCAGCGGUCACUCGGCCCAUUCCUAUGCUGCACGGACUUGCGGGGUUUUGUUUAAUGUUGAAGAGGGCGGCAGAGGAUGAGAUGGUUGGAUGGCAUCACCCACUCAAUGGACAUGAAUCUGAACAGCUGGCAGACAGGGGAGCCGAGCCUGCUGCAGCCCAUGGGGCCGCAAAGAGUCCGACGACUUGGCGACUGAACAACACCCAGUCGUGCCCGCCGGGGUGCAGGGUGGCGCUCGCUGUUCACGUGGCUCUCCCCGAGCGCGCCUGGCAGGGAGCAUGACCCGAUAAAUAAACGUGACUAAGUCAAGAUUUCUGCC